AUUGAACGCUAGCGGGAUGCCUUACACAUGCAAGUCGAACGGAGUGGCGAACGGGUGAGUAAUGUAUCGGAACGUGCCCAGUAGCGGGGGAUAACUACGCGAAAGCGUAGCUAAUACCGCAUACUAUUGGAGCGGCCGAUAUCGGAGUAGCUAGUUGGGGGGGUAACGGCCCACCAAGGCGACGAUCCGUAGCUGGUUUGCGAGGACGACCAGCCACACUGGGACUGCGACAAGGCCCAGAUUCCUACGGGGCGCAGCAGUGGGGGAUAUUGCACAAUGGGCGCAAGCCUGGUGCAGCCAUGCCGCGUGUAUGAAUAAGGCCUUCGGGUUGUAAAGCUCUGUUGUUAGAGAAGCGGUAACUAACCAGAAAGGGACGGCUAACUACGUGCCAGCAGCCGCGGUAAUAC
rnacentral:rRNA from 1 species